UCACUGAGAAUGAGCAGAUUUUACCCGGGACAGGUUUUUUUUUAUCAUCAAUCUGUCAGUAUUAUCACAUCAAUUAUUUCAGAGUAUCUUCAUCAGAGUGCUUUACAUUUGAUUUGAUCAGUUUUUCAUAUGAAGGCAGCAGAUAUUCGGAAUAACGUGCAAUGCUACACCAGGCUGACAGUUUAUUUCUCCUUCACUCAGUCUGGUCCCUGAGGAUGACUUGUGGUUGCUUUGGGAUUUCCUUGUCUCCAGAGAACACAACACUCAUCGUAACACAUCCACUGCCUUCUGCAUGUUAUCUUUGGGCAGGUCGAGGUAUUUAGACAUCAAAGUCACCACCAGACGACUGCACUGCUUAACAGAAACCACAGAAUGAGAAUGAGACAGCCAAAGAGAAGCUUAAUGUGUUCCUGUGGGUCACAGGUUACUGAUUCUGCCAAGCAGGACAUGUUCUUGGAUUCACCUCAAGUAAUUCCCAACUAAUAGUUCUUGCAGCCAUGGUUGUGACUGAAUGUAAUAAUGUCCCAUGU